GUACAUUUCCCAGAUCCAUUCAGUCUUGAUAACUCUGCUGAGUCUGCGAGCAAGGUUACCUGCUUGGUGAUGAUGUUGUGAUUAUGGACACCUGUCCACUGGGAAAUUCGAUUCAAAUGCAUCCUGUUAAAGAGCCAAGUGAUUAGAUCAUAAAUCUGGAUGCCCUUGAAGAUGAUGAAGGAAAUGCUUAUCUGUAAAGCAAUCAUCACACUGCCAGUUCUUCAUCUGCACAUUUUUACAGAUCCUGUGACCUCUUGUCCAUAAACACAAAUAUUAACUUAAGAGGUCAGCGAACCAUUGGUGAAUGCAUGCAGAGAAGAUUAAAAGAAACAAUACAAAAUCCUCUCCUGGGAAAGAUCAAAUGGCUACUUAAGUAAAUGCAACCUAAACCACUAGAGUUUAGCCCUGAGGGAGGGGAGGGGGGAAUUGUACACUAUAAUUAACACCUUGUAGUUGCACUCUCCAAUGCUUCAGACAGAUUGUGCUCCAUUAUGGGGUGAAGAAAACACAAAUUAGCAGUUGCUCAGUACUUUUAAACCUGAAAUCAAAAGUAGCAUCAUAAUUAAUACAAGGCACUUAGCAUUGCUAAGUGCUUGGGAAGUGGUCCUGAAGGAAUUCAGCACCCACACAAUAGCUCUAUGAUUUCCAUAAAGAUGUGGUCAGCUCUGGGUCUGUUGAGCAAUUAAUUAAAUAUACAAACAAAACCACUAUUUCUUUACUGGUAUCUAAUCAUUAGAGUCAAAUCCUUACUCAGGUAAAAUUUACACUGGAGUAGACUAGAGUUUUUGCUUGAGUAAGGACUGCAUUAUUUACCCCAGAAUUUGGAGCCAAAAUCAUUUUCCAUCUAAUUGCCUUCUAAUUGUUUGAGGCUUCCCUCUCUGUGUUCUUGAAGCUAUUUCUCCAACUCCUUAUUCCUAGGAGCUCAUUACUUCAGUCAGUGUCACAACAAAUAAAAUAUGUUUUGUUUAUAUGGACAACUUGGAGAGUGUCCAGUGAAGGAAUUGUGGCUCCUUCUCUAUCGGUUUGUGUUGCUAGACAAGUGUCUAGGAAAUAUAAAAGCUGAAAG